GUGCACAAAUUAUUAGAAAUAUGUUCUGACGUUGCGACCAUCCGCUCCGACAAAAAUCUGCCCGCGGUUUGAGUUGCCUACCCCUACCUUAACCAACUGGUAGAAAUGUUGAAAUGCAGGUUGAUCCUCCAUCCUUAGUUAAUGAAAGGAGUUUGUUUUUAUUUGUGUGUGUGGUGUAUAUAUGUAGUACCAGUCAAAAGUUUGGACAAACCUACUCAUUCCAGGUCUGUGGGGCGAUGCACAAUUGGCCUAGCGUCGUCCGUCCGGGUUAGGGAGGGCUCGGCCGGUAGGGAUAUCCUUGUCUCAUCGCGACUCCUGUGGCGGGCCGGGCGCAGUGCACGCUAACCAAGAUUGCCAGGUGCGCGGUGUUUCCUCCGACACAUUGGUGCGGCUGACUUCCAGGUUGGAUGGCGCUGUGUUAAGAAGCAGUGUGGCUUGGUUGGGUUGUGUAUCGGAAGACGCAUGACUUUCAACCUUCGUCUCUCCCAAGCGCGUACGGGAGUUGUAGCGAUGAGACAAGAUAGUAGCUACUAAAAAAAACUAUUGGACACUACGAAAAAGGGGUAAAACACAAUUUUUUUAAACUAUGAAAUGACACAUGGGAUCAUGUAGUAACCAGUAAGUGUUAAAUCUAAAUAUAUUUGAUAUUCUUCCAAGUAGCCACCCUUUGCCUUGAUAACAGCUUUGCACACUUCACAUUCUCUCAGCCAGCUUCAUUAGGCUUCAUGGAAUGCAUUUCAACAAGGCAUUGCCUUGUUAAUUUGUGGAAUUUCUUUCCUUCAUGUGUUUGAGCUAAUCAGUUGUGUUGUGACAAGGUAGGGUUGGUAUACAGAAGGUACAAAACAGACCUCCAGGCUGUGUAAGGGCUAUUUGACCAAGGAGAAUAAUGGAGUGCUGCAUCAGAUGACCUGGCCUCCACAAUCACCCGACUUCAACCCAAUUUAGAUGGUUUGGGAUGAGUCGGACUGCGGAGUGAAGAAAAAGCAGCCAACAAGUGCUCAGCAUAGUUGGGAACUCCUUCAAGACUGUUGGAAAAGCAUUCCAGGUGAAGCUGGUUGAGAGAAUGCCAAGCGUGUGCAAAGCUGUCAUCAAGGCAAAGGGUGGCUACUUUGAAGAAUCUCAAAUAUAAAAUAUAUUUUGAUUUGUUUAACACUUAUUCCACAAUGUAGAAAAUAGUAAAAAUAAAGAAUGAGUAGGUGUGUCUAAACGUUUGAUUGGUACUGUAUGUAUGUAUAUAUAUAUAACACCGCUUGCUAUUGAUCAGCAUCAUAGAUAUGGACAAGUGUUUUUCUAACCAUCUGCCUGACAAGGAAAAACCAUGGGCUGGGGUGUAUUCAUUAUGCCGAUUCUGUUGCAAAAAGGAACAAUACGGGGAGGGACCAAGCUGAAUUUGUCCAAUAGAAACUCUGGUUUUCACUGUUUGGACUAAUGACUACACCCCUGAUAUUUUAGCCCAUAACUAGCGCCCCAAGGUUUUCCUGGCCAAGUCAUGUAGUCAGGAAAAACUCUUGGGCCAAAUCACAGAAUUUAAGCUGACAGGUAGACUAAUUCUAGAGUUAGUUUUUAGUUCUGUCACUAGUUGUUCCUCCCACAACCACACUUCAGUUGCAUUUCCUGUGGUUUAAUGUCUUUCUGAUUUUGGAUUUUAAAAAACAUUUUGUAUGACAGACUGUUUAUAUACAGUGAGCAGAGAGAGAGAUUGUUGUAUGUGAUUCACAGCAUAUCCUGGGUCUUGUUCAUUAGGGCAUGCAAUGGAAAGUUUUUUAAUAUGAUUUCUGACAGAAACCAAAAAUGUGUGUUUCUUAUUGGACAAGUCCAAGUAGUCCAUCCCUGUUUGAGUCCAUUUUCUUCAGUUUGGUACGUAAUGAACACCACCCUGCAUUGUGUGCCUCCACAAGCCUCGGGGGGGGGGUUCAAUAGACUCUGGGUCUUUACAGUCAGGGAACAGUUCAUACAUGUCUUAUGUUGUGUUGGGAGUAGGGUGUAGUUGCCCCUAGUCACUGAUCUUGGGUCAGUUUUACAUUUCGCCCAGUAUUGGUUACAGUUAGGAUUUGAAGAGGGGAAGCUGAUCCUAGAUCUCUACUUAGGGGAAACAUCACCCCAAAGCAAUAUGUUGCAGGGCUAGGAGUUUUACCUGGACAAUGGGAUCUGACCAGGAAGAUACCCAAGGCUCCUGAGUUUUUCCCAGCCAGGUUACAUGGUUUAUGGCCCUCAAACUCAACUCUGGACCUCAAAGCCAGUUCUACUGCUUUUUUUUUCAUUGUUCCCUUUAAAUCAUGGACUGAUUUAGACCUGGGACACCAGGUGGGUGAUUCCCCUCUAAUCAGUGACUGAUUUAGACCUGGGACACCAGGUGGGUGAUUCCCCUCUAAUCAUGGAAUGAUUUAGACCUGGAACACCAGGUGGGUGAUUCCCCUCUAAUCAGGGACUGAUUUAGACCUGGGACACCAGGUGGGUGAUUCCCCUCUAAUCAGGGACUGAUUUAGACCUGGGACACCAGGUGGGUGCAAUGAAUUAUCAGGUAGAACAGAAAACCAUUAGGGUCAGAGUUGAAUACCCUGGUCUAUGGGAUCUGACCAGGAAGAUACCUAAAGCCCCCUCCCCCCCCCGAGUUCUUCCCAGUCAGGAGAAACUACUGGUCCCUCCUAUGUAGCUCUCUCAUGGAUAUGUCUUCCACAACAUCAACUACUGAAUGUACAUAAUAUGCAGAUUUGUAAAUGUAAAAAUGUGUGAAU
ensembl:lncRNA